GACGAACGCUGGCGGCGUGCUUAACACAUGCAAGUCGAACGGAAAGGCCCUGCUUUUGUGGGGUGCUCGAGUGGCGAACGGGUGAGUAACACGUGAGUAACCUGCCCUUGACUUUGGGAUAACUUCAGGAAACUGGGGCUAAUACCGGAUAGGAGCUCCUGCUGCGUGGUGGGGGUUGGAAAGUUUCGGCGGUUGGGGAUGGACUCGCGGCUUAUCAGCUUGUUGGUGGGGUAGUGGCUUACCAAGGCUUUGACGGGUAGCCGGCCUGAGAGGGUGACCGGCCACAUUGGGACUGAGGUACGGCCCAGACUCCUACGGGAGGCAGCAGUGGGGAAUAUUGCACAAUGGGCGGAAGCCUGAUGCAGCAACGCCGCGUGCGGGAUGACGGCCUUCGGGUUGUAAACCGCUUUCGCCUGUGACGAAGCGUGAGUGACGGUAAUGGGUAAAGAAGCACCGGCUAACUACGUG
rnacentral:rRNA from 1 species